CCUGGACCCCACGGUGCCAGGUGCUGCACAGCCACUGAACAGAGAGAUGGUCCCUGCCUUGAGCCAUGCACAGUCUGUGUCUAGGGCAAGAGAUGACAGGUGUGGCCUCCCUCGGAGACAGCUCAGGAGGAACCUCUGCCCAUCCCUUAGGCUGCAGAGGUAGGGUAGCCACUCCCACCCCACCGGAAGCCAAGGGGCAGGACAGGAAGCAGAAAUACAAAAGGCGGGCCCUGCAGGUCAGUUGGGCUGGAGCGGCCGAGGGAGACACUUAUUCCCUGUUGCCAGAGUGGGACAUCAAGGAGGAGCUCCUGGGGCUGCCAGCUGAAGACUGGCCAGAGCUCCCAGGGCUGCUGGCCGACUGAGGUGCUGAUGUGCAGCUGGGGCUACUGCUGACCACCGAUCCCAGGAAGAUGGAGGACACCUACAGCAAGGAGGGCAAAGGGCUCGACAGCGAGGAGGCGUGGCCUCCCACAGAGACAGCCCAGGAGGGGUGGCCAUGCAGGCUCAUAAUCACCUUGACAAGCAGGUGGCUAUUGGCCAUGGAGAAGGGAACCCCACCUUGUAGUCGUCACUGGUGGAGCCCACCGCGGAGCCGAAGAUGUUGUAAUUGGCCCAGUUGCCGUCUCCCUCUGGGUAGUUGGCGUUGCUC